rnacentral:rRNA from 1 species
CCUACGGGCGGCAGCAGUGGGGAAUAUUGGGCAAUGGGCGCAAGCCUGACCCAGCAACGCCGCGUGAAGGAAGAAGGUUUUCGGGUUGUAAACUUCUUUUCUGAGGGACGAAGAAAGUGACGGUACCUCAGGAAUAAGCCACGGCUAACUACGUGCCAGCAGCCGCGGUAAUACGUAGGUGGCAAGCUGUAUCCGGAGUUAUUGGGUGUAAAGGGCGUGGAGGCGGGAACGUAAGUCAGAUGUGAAAACUCAGGGCUCAACCCUGAGCCUGCAUUUGAAACUGUUUUUCUUGAGUGCUGGAGAGGCAAUCGGAAUUCCGAGUGUAGCGGUGAAAUGCGUAGAUAUACGGAGGAACACCAGUGGCGAAGGCGGAUUGCUGGACAGUAACUGACGCUGAGGCGCGAAAGCGUGGGGAGCAAACAGGAUUAGAUACCCCAGUAGUC